rnacentral:sRNA from 1 species
GCUAGGUGUGGUGGCACAUGCCUGUAAUCUCAGCAGCUCUGGAGGCUGAGGCAGGAGGAUUGUGAGUUCAAAGUCAGCCUCAACAUAAUAAACUCAGUGAGACCCUGUCUCUA